rnacentral:sRNA from 1 species
GGAUUCUGAAACAUUUUCUUGACUGCAGUGUCAUCUGCAAAGCAGUCUACAUUAAUAGCUUUUACGUGGACAAGCCUGUCUAAACUCCCAUGUAGGCCGCUGGAGAAACAGUAGUUCUUACAUUUACGCACGUAGCUGAGGUCCAUUUCAGAGAUGCCGGUACCUUAGUUCAUUAGUUAACCUCUCCUCGAAUUAUACUGACCACUUGCAAUUGUUGGAAUUUACGCAUGCCUUCUAAAUUACCCUGUUCAAACUCAAACUCCAGUGUAACAGUGUAGUAGGUGGUCUCACUCGAAACGGUUAGCAGAAGGCUGCUUUUGACCUACAAAGUGAUUCCGAUUCCAGAAAAGACUUGCAAAACCAGGGAAUUCUUCCUCCUGUUUUCUGUUUCUGCUGUGGGGAAUGGGGACGGGUCACCAAGCCACAGUUUGAAGGAGAUUUUUAUUUUCCCAGGACUAGGGCUGACAGGCUCUCUCUUGAUUGGCCCUUAUUCUAUGCCUCAUUUGCAAGAAGCAUACUCAGCCAAUCAGAGCCUACUUGAAUCUACCUAAAUCCUUGGGGGCUUAGCCUAGUCACCAGUUUGGUUCCUGGUUUCUGGCUGCUGUCUUCUGGCAAAGCACUUCGGACUUCGGAAUCAGCCUCUUUGGACCAUCAGAGGGAAGACUGCUCCUGCCUUUGAGAUCUGUCAGAGGCUGGCCACUGGAGACCUUCUGAGUACCUUUCAUUUUCAGCACUGUCCCGAGCUGAAUCAUAUGUUGUUCUGCUAUUUAUUUGCAACUCAUGGGAUGUUGGAGAACACUGGACAGCAGCUGAAGAUGGAAUUUACAUAUGGGAGCUCUGUCGGGGAGACUCAAACCAUCUCCUUGCUCACUCUGUCUGGUCUUGGAAGAAACAGGGAAUAGGUAUAUUGAACUUUUUCCAGGUUCAUCUGUGCACUCACACAGUGCCUUGGGAAAAUCUAAGUUAUAUUGUCAGAAGCCACGUAACCAUAGAAAGAAAUUCUGACAAAAUAAAACUGGAGCGUCAAGGGAAGCACACCCAUAGCAUCUCUCCUGCUGGCUGCAGAGCUCUUUGAUCCUGACACUUGGUGCAGGUUCUCGGCAUUUCUAACACACAGGGGAUUGUUGCCUUGAGAGAUGUUCUACACGCCUGUUCUGAAUCAAGUCACAGGCUUCCUUUACAAAAAACAAUCUGCUGUGCUGAAAUGGAAUAUUCUAAUAACAUGGGAUCAUUUUUGUUAGCUCCAGAGUACACUGCAAUCUCUGCAAGAGACGAACCUAGCCGGUGUACAGCCAAAUAUACGGUUGGGAGCUUGGGGCGCAGCUGGUGAGCGCUGAUGACAGACAAGAGGAAAGACUGGGAACAAACUGGAGCCAGUGAAGACACCUUUCAGGUGAUCUCCACAUUUCAUUAGUGACAGGCACAGAGAGAGUGAUUCCUACUUCAUUUUUUUCUGCAUACAAUUGACCAGACUGCAUGGAAAGAAGAAUUCUGGGAAAUGUAGUUCCAAACCAUGGAGGGACUGAGCCCUUACAGAAUUUCAGUCUGUGUUGAGAUUUACCUUCUAAAACAAAGUGGGGUAAUGCUAAUGGAAUUACCUUGAAAGUCAUAAAACACCAAACAGAUACUAGUUAUUAAUAUCAGCAACAACAAAAAGUGCUGUAUAAUAAAGCCAUAGGCAGGAACAUAGUGAUAAUUAGACACAAGAAGCAUCAAUGAAUAAGUCUUAAAAUAAUUCUGCUAAUUUAUUUGUGUGUGUUUGUGUGUCUGUGCAUACAUGCCUCUCUACCUCAGUAUGAGAGUGUACCUGUAUGCAGAGCCUUAGUUUGUGGAAAUGAGAGAACAACUUCUCGGAAUUGGUUCUCCACUUCCAUCAAGUGGGUUUCUGAGAACUAAACUCAGGCUUGGCAACAAGCCCCUUUACAUGAUGAACCAUCGUAUAGCUCCCUCAGUAAUAUUUCUUGGUCAGUACUAGUUAAUUGGUCACACCGGCAUCAUAAUGUUCAUGCUAUGGCACUGUAGUAGACUCUUGUAGCUUCAAAAAAAAGUGUAAAGAUCUGUGCAAAAAUCAUUGCCUGAAUUUUUUGGUGGUGUCAGAACGUCUGUGCUCUUUAGGUAAUAAACUGUGAGUUCCCUUUCUUUC